GAGUAUUUCGUUGCCGCACUGGCCCAAAAUUGUUGAUAAUUCUGAAUGGGGGGCAUCACUACAAACUGAGGCGCAAUGAAGCGCAACACAUCCACGCGACAUUUGCAAUCUACGCGGUGUAUCUCUGCAUCGUGUACGAGGCUAUGACCAUGGCUCUGACUCCGACGCUGGACACCUCCACCAAAAUGUGUCCAAUGUAACGCCACAACAAAGAACGUUAAUUGACGCCAAAAUGCUGCAGCAUAAAAAGCACAAAAAAGAGAGGGAAUCUCCGGAUGGAACAAAACUCUGAAAAAAGGCAAGAGAAUAACCAGCAAAGUGGGGAGGAAAUGUGAAAAAAACAAUUUUUCCAGUCGGACACAUUUUGCGGCAGGAGCAGGAGCAGCAUCAGUGUCGUGUCUUCGUUGGGUUUUGGGUAAAUUUAAAUGCGCCUGCGACCUGAUCUCCGUCCCGACCUGAUCCGACCCGACCCGACUCCAGACUCAAGUGGCUUUAUUAACCCUAUGAGAGGUCACACGGGUCUCCUAGGUCUACAAUCCCCUGGACGUUACAUCACUGGUCUACACUCCACUGCCCUUUCCUAACCGGGCAAAAGAGAGAGGGAAAGGAAGAGAGAGAGAGAGAGAGAGAGUGGGCGUUGUUGAAUCAGCACACGUGAUUAAUGGCCUUUAAUUAUGUCAAAGCGCGACGGAAGGACUCUGGCUCUGACUGGGCUACGUGUGUGUGUUCCUGUGCAACGGUAUGCCAGUUAAACGCUUGACAUUAAAAAAUUGACACCGUUCGGGGUGAAAUGUUGGCGACGUUCUGGUUCUGGGGUGGGCACUCUGCACACUCUCGGCCGAUGUGUUUUUGCUUCUCUCUGACAACUGUCUGGCACACGGGACUCGGUAGUUCCCCCACGAGACUUGUCUUUUCGGCCUGGCCCGAACACACACACAAACGCCACUCCAUGGACUGAGCCACAACUCCUUUGGACAUUUGUUACCAAGCCCCGUGAUUGUGUGUGGGCGUGUGUUUCGGUUGUCGCUUUUAAUGAAAGCGUCAUAAAUUAUGUUGCAGUUGACGAAAGCAACAGCGAAGCUAUCGUCUCCGUCCAGAGUCAGAGGUUACAGAGCGGGGGUUACUUAGCAUAUGGCCUGAACAUACACACCUCCUACGUUUGUAUGUUUGGCUUUUGGAGUUGCAGCAGCGCAGCAGAAAGGGGUACCAAGUGCUUUAAAUAUGUUAAACAGGUGAAACCAUUAACCAAAGAAUAAUGCAUUUUACUCAAAUUUAAGUAUACAAAUGCAACUAAAUAGUUCUUAGAAUAGAAACACAGACAGAUAUAUUAGGUAGAGUCCAAAGAGAAAUUUCCAGAUAUCAUCUGCCUUCACCUUCAACCAUGGUAUCUGUUGCUGUUUCAGUGCUUGUGGCCCAAUUUGUUUCCGGUUCGUUGUAUUCAUCAAACUUUCGUUAAUCAAUCUAAUCUCCCAUGGUGGCAUUGGAAGUGUUGAUUCCCCGCUCAUCCCCGCAGAAUCACUUGCAAAUCGAUGACUGAACGCCGAGCCACUAGUCGAUUUAGCGCCAGCCGCGAGAACCUCCAGCCUGGUGGUGCACAAGAGAAAGACCAGAGCGGAGAGUAGUAAGAACAGCUUAAUAUACGACAUUUUAUUUUGCCAAAUGUCUGAGUUCUACUGUUACACUAUCACCAGACUCGUUCGAAUUGAAUGAACAGUACAAAAAGCUGCAAGUCUACGAUAUUCAGAAAAUGCCACUUCGAUGCCGAGCAACUUCUGAGGAGUUUGGAACCCAUUGCUGGAUGUUUCUCGGACCCCAGUCGGAGGGGGAGUGCUUGUCUCUUCAACUGUGGAAGCUUUUACGUUUCUGCAUCAAAAUAUCGUGUGUUCUGGGGAUGCGGCUAUCGGUUCACAUUUGAACUGGAAAUUGUAAGAAUUCCUUGUGCUAAAAAAUCUUUUCAAACUCUCAGUACAUAUCGAAGGGAGCAGCAUCCUCCCUUUUGCUAGCCCUGUGCCCUGUGCCCUGUGCCCUUUGCUAUUUGCCAAAUCAAAUAAUUAUAAAAGUUCUGCCCCCGCCACGCCCACAGUCCGCCCACAGCCUUUGCCAUAGGGCUCACAGAAACAGAACUUGAAACAAACUUUUGGCUCAAAAAAGGUGCAGCGGCAAAAGUUUCGAGCCAACUAGCAAAAAUUUCAUUUAGGCGCAUUUAGGCGUCAGCUACAGUUGGAAGGUGAAAGGAAGAGAUCGGGGGACUCCCGCCCAGAUAGAAAUUCUUA